rnacentral:rRNA from 1 species
AGAGUUUGAUCCUGGCUCAGGAUAAACGCUGGCGGCGUGCAUGAGACAUGCAAGUCGAACGGUCAAUCGGGCUUGCUCGAUUGAUAGUGGCGGACGGCUGAGUAACGCGUAGGUGACCUGCCCCGAAGUGGGGAAUAACUGCCCGAAAGGGUGGCUAAUACCGCAUGUGGUGCCAUAUUCGUUUGUGGCUCCAAAGCCGUAAGGCGCUUCGGGAGGGGCCUGCGUCCGAUUAGCUCGUUGGUGGGGUAACGGCUCACCAAGGCGACGAUCGGUAGGUGGUCUGAGAGGACGAUCACCCAGACUGGGACUGAGACACGGCCCAGACUCCUACGGGAGGCAGCAGUCGGGAAUUUUGGGCAAUGGGCGAAAGCCUGACCCAGCAACGCCGCGUGAGGGAUGAAGGCCUUCGGGUCGUAAACCUCUUUUCUCAGGGAAGGUAAUGACGGUACCUGAGGAAGAAGCCACGGCUAACUACGUGCCAGCAGCCGCGGUAAUACGUAGGUGGCGAGCGUUGUCCGGAUUUACUGGGCGUAAAGAGCGCGCAGGCGGUCGGAUUAGUCGAAUGUGAAAGCCCCCGGCUCAACUGGGGAGGGUCAUUCGAUACUGUUCGACUCGAAGGCAGGAGAGGGAAGCGGAAUUCCCGGUGUAGUGGUGAAAUGCGUAGAUAUCGGGAGGAACACCAGUGGCGAAGGCGGCUUCCUGGCCUGUUCUUGACGCUGAGGCGCGAAAGCUAGGGGAGCAAACGGGAUUAGAUACCCCGGUAGUCCUAGCCGUAAACGAUGGACACUAGGUGUUGGCGGUAUCAACCCCGCCAGUGCCGUAGCUAACGCAUUAAGUGUCCCGCCUGGGGAGUACGGCCGCAAGGCUAAAACUCAAAGGAAUUGACGG